rnacentral:rRNA from 1 species
GACACGCUGGCGGCGUGCUUAACACAUGCAAGUCGAACGGGAGUAUUGAAGAAGCUUGCUUUAGAGAUACUUUAGUGGCGGACGGGUGAGUAACGCGUGAGGAGCUGUCCUACGCAGGGGGACAACAGCUGGAAACGGCUGCUAAUACCCCAUAAGCCGAGAGGUAAAAGGAUCAAUCCGGCAGAGGAGGUACUCGCGUCCUAUCAGCUAGUAGGUGAGGUAACGGCUCACCUAGGCGAAGACGGGUAGCCGGCCUGAGAGGGCGAACGGCCACACUGGAACUGAGAUACGGUCCAGACUCCUACGGGAGGCAGCAGUGGGGAAUAUUGGGCAAUGGGGGAAACCCUGACCCAGCGACGCCGCGUGGGUGAAGAAAUCCUUCGGGAUGUAAAGCCCUGUUGUAUGGGAAGAGCGGAAGACGGUACCAUACGAGGAAGCCCCGGCAAACUACGUG